rnacentral:rRNA from 1 species
GAUGAACGCUGGCGGCGUGCCUAAUACAUGCAAGUAGAACGCUCAGUCUUUGUGCUUGCUCCCAGCGGCUGAGUUUCGAACUUGUGAGUAGCGCGUAGGUAACUUGCUUGGUAGCGGGGGAUAACUAUUGGAAACUAUAGCUAAUACCGUAUUACAGUAUAUUUUUCAUUAUAUCUGCUUGAAAGGUUCAAAUGCAUCACUACCACAUGGACCUGCGUUGUAUUAGUUAGUUGGUGAGGUAACGGCUCACCAAGGCGACGAUACAUAGCCGACUUGAGAGGGUGAUCGGCCACACUGGGACUGAGACACGGCCCAGACUCCUACGGGAGGCAGCAGUAGGGAAUCUUCGGCAAUGGGGGGAACGCUGACCGAGCAACGCCGCGUGAGUGAAGAAGGUUUUCGGAUCGUAAAGCUCGGUUGUAAGAGAAGAACGAGUGUGAGAGUGGAAAGUUCACACUGUGACGGUAUCUUACCAGAAAGGGACGGCUAACUACGUG